rnacentral:sRNA from 1 species
UGGGGGUGGGGUGGCAGGGCUGGUGCAGGUUGGUGACAGCCGCCUACAACUACUUCCAUGUGACCAACUUCUUCUGGAUGUUCGGCGAGGGCUGCUACCUGCACACAGCCAUCGUGCUCACCUACUCCACCGACCGGCUGCGCAAGUGGAUGUUCAUCUGCAUCGGCUGGGGUGAGCUGGGCAGCCACCUCCCCAGCCUGGGCAGUGGCGGCCGCCGGGCUGCCCUCUCCUCCAGACUCAGGCCAGCGGGCUGCGGGGCCUGAGGGAUGGAGGUCGGGUUGGGGCGGUAAGGUGUGCACCAUAGCCCUCUGCUCCUCUUGGGGGGGGGGGGAAGUAGAAGAACCUUGAAGGAGGUGUGUGAGUUUGAGAUCCACCCGGGGUAACCCCAGAACCCCUGGAGCCUGGGCUGCACUGGAGUUCUCCAGGCCCACAUCCCCCAGCCCCUGCUGAGGGCUCUGUGACAGCCCAUCUCUCCCCCAGGUGUGCCCUUCCCCAUCAUUGUGGCCUGGGCUAUUGGGAAGCUGUACUACGACAAUGAGAAGUGCUGGUUUGGCAAAAGGCCUGGGGUGUACACCGACUACAUCUACCAGGGCCCCAUGAUCCUGG